CAACACAAUAGACAGAACGCAGAGUGAAUAACAGCUCAUUACAUUCAUUCUGCAUGUUGUGACUCCUCCCCUCCACCCAAGUGUGCACAGUCCAACACCACCAAAACAAGAGGAAACAUCAGUGAACUUACAAACAUCUCAGACUUACCGGACAGGACUGCGACUGAAGUGGCCGUCACUGUUACUGACAAACAAAACAACUAUAUCAUAACUGCCUUGGCAAAACAUGGUGUCCAAAACAGCAGAAUCACAAAGAAAACUAGAUAGGUACAUUUCCUGAAGAAAAUGUGAGUGGUGCUUGCCAUGGCAAAACUCGUCAAAUAGCAUGUUAUAGCUUGUUGCUAAGAACUAAAAUUAUGGUCCUAGAAUGUUGCUAGCAUGUGUUUUUCAUGAUGGUAGCAUGUAGGUGUUAUUUAUUUAGGUUUAUUGUAACUAUGCAAUGCUAACAUGUGUUAGCAUGAUGCUAACAAGUUGUCAUGUUUUAACACUUCGCUAGGCGAUGCUAGCAUGUGUUAUCAUGAUGCUAGCACAUAUUUAGCAUGUUUUAGCACUUCACUAGUUGAUGCUAACAUGUGUUAGCAUGAUGCUAGCACGUUUUUAGCAUGUUUUAACACUUUGCUAGGUGAUGCUAGCAUGUGUUAGCAUGAUGCUAGCACGUUUGGUAAGCACCACUAAUGACGGUGUAUGACAGGGUUCCCUCUUUUUUCAACCAAUGACUUGAAAGCUCAUUUCCACGCUCAAACAUUUAGUCUUUCCUCCUGAAAGUGGCACCAAAAUCAUAAUCACAAAUUGGUAAAACUACACUAUUGUUUGAGGAGUAAUCAUCAUAGAUACAGAAUGGGUUCUAAAAUGGGCGGGGUUUAGCGGCACACCCUUGUCUGUAAUUGGUCAGGAGUUCUAAACGAAAUGAUACAUUUUAUUUUCAACUCUUCACCACAACAGAACACCCGAUUAGCGUAAUAAACCAAAUAUGAAUGACUUUUCCAGGCCUGGAAAUCAUCAUUUGAAAAUUCCCUGAUAUUUCCAUGACUGUGGGAACCCUGUAAAUGUCCCAUUUGAGCUGUUGUCAAAACUAAACUAAAUAUAAAUAUAUACUUAUACAUACACAAUUCUGCACAAGUUGAACUGUGUGGAAAAUGCUGAUCAAAACAAACAUGAGUGAUUAGUAAAUUAUAAUCACCCUUUGCUAUGGGUGGGGAACGUAUAACCCCCGCAAGGACUUUUGAGAAAUCAUUUGAAAAGCAAAAAACGGCCUUGAUUCAAUAAACCUGGAAAAACAAAAAAUACUUUCAAAUAAUUUGAAAUGAAUAACUUGACACCAGUGGUGACACCAGGGCCAGUCAAGCCUUCUCUGUGAAUAACGCAAUAUUUUAAUGAUCGCUGCCAAUUUUAUUACAUUUUUUAGUUUUUUUACAUCCUGUUUAUAACGGACAAAUUAACUUAAACGCGCGUCUUCAGUGUCCAAACGCUUAAUAAGUGUUAGUGUUUCACAGUCGUAAACACACGACUGUCCCAACUUCACCGGAGCGUGUUCAUCGAUAAUAAUUCGGGAUGCACCGAAAUUUCGGACGGUGAAACUUUUCGGCCGAAAAUGGCACUUUCAGUUUUUGCCCAAAAGAGAAAAAAAAGGCCGAAAAUAUGUGCUCAGAUUUCACUCUGGAUCGAUCUAGCCCUCAUCACAGCGCUACCCAACAAAGGCCGAUCAUGUCUAGGAGUGAUGGUGGUGGUGUAGUGGUUAAAGCACAUAACCAGUAAUCAGAAGGUUGCUGGUUCGAUCCCCACAGUCACCACCAUUGUGUCCUUGAGUAAGACUCUUAACUCCAGGUUGCUCCGGGGGGAUUGUCCCUGUAAUAAGUGCUCUGUAUAAUACAUUGGUACUCAGAAGGUUGCUGGUUUGAUCCCCACAGUAACCACCAUUGUGUCCUUGAGUAAGACACUUAACUCCAGGUUGCUCCGGGGGGAUUGUCCCUGUAAUAAGUGCUCUGUAUAAUACAUUGGUACUCAUAAGGUUGCUGGUUUGAUCCCCACAUUCACCACCAUUGUGUCCUUGAGUAAGACACUUAACUCCAGGUUGCUCCGGGGGGGAUUGUCCCUGUAAUAAGUGCUCUGUAUAAUACAUUGGUACUCAGAAGGUUGCUGGUUUGAUCCCCACAGUAACCACCAUUGUGUCCUUGAGUAAGACACUUAACUCCAGGUUGCUCCGGGGGGAUUGUCCCUGUAAUAAGUGCACUGUAA